rnacentral:rRNA from 1 species
UACGGGGGGGGCAAGCGUUGUUCGGAAUUACUGGGCGUAAAGGGCUCGUAGGCGGCCAACUAAGUCAGACGUGAAAUCCCUCGGCUUAACCGGGGAACUGCGUCUGAUACUGGAUGGCUUGAGUUUGGGAGAGGGAUGCGGAAUUCCAGGUGUAGCGGUGAAAUGCGCAGAUAUCAGGAGGAACACCGGUGGCGAAGGCGGAUCUCUGGGCCUGUUCUGACGCUGAGGCGCGAAAGCUAGGGGAGCGAACAGG